rnacentral:rRNA from 1 species
GACGAACGCUGGCGGCGUGCUUAACACAUGCAAGUCGAACGGAAAGGCCCUGCUUUUGUGGGGUGCUCGAGUGGCGAAAGGGUGAGUAACACGUGAGUAACCUUCCCUUGACUUUGGGAUAACUUCAGGAAACUGGGGCUAAUACCGGAUAGGAGCUCCUGCUGCAUGGUGGGGGUUGGAAAGGUUCGGCGGGUGGGGAUGGGCUCGCGGCUUAUCAGCUUGUUGGUGGGGUAGUGGCUUACCAAGGCUUUGACGGGUAGCCGGCCUGAGAGGGUGACCGGCCACAUUGGGACUGAGAUACGGCCCAGACUCCUACGGGAGGCAGCAGUGGGGAAUAUUGCACAAUGGGCGGAAGCCCGAUGCAGCAACGCCGCGUGCGGGAUGACGGCCUUCGGGUUGUAAACCGCUUUCGCCUGUGACGAAGCGUGAGUGACGGUAAUGGGUAAAGAAGCACCGGCUAACUACGUG